UACGGAGGGUGCAAGCGUUAUCCGGAUUUACUGGGUUUAAAGGGUGUGUAGGCGGGCUUUUAAGUCAGUGGUGAAAUCUCCGGGCUCAACCUGGAAACUGCCAUUGAUACUAUUAGUCUUGAAUUUUGUUGAGGUAGGCGGAAUAAGUCAUGUAGCGGUGAAAAUGCAUAGAUAUGACUUAGAACACCAAUUGCGAAGGCAGCUUGCUAAACAAACAUUGACGCUGAGGCACGAAAGCGUGGGGAUCAAACAGG
rnacentral:rRNA from 1 species